GCCAGACUCCUACGGGAGGCAGCAGUGAGGAAUAUUGGUCAAUGGCCGGAAGGCUGAACCAGCCAAGUCGCGUGAGGGAAUAAGGCCCUAUGGGUCGUAAACCUCUUUUGUCAGGGAGCAACGCCGGCUACGUGUAGCCGGACUGAGAGUACCUGAAGAAAAAGCAUCGGCUAACUCCGUGCCAGCAGCCGCGGUAAUACGGAGGAUGCGAGCGUUAUCCGGAUUUAUUGGGUUUAAAGGGUGCGUAGGCGGAAUAUCAAGUCAGCGGUAAAAAUUCGGGGCUCAACCCCGUCGUGCCGUUGAAACUGAUGUUCUUGAGUGGGCGAGAAGUAUGCGGAAUGCGUGGUGUAGCGGUGAAAUGCAUAGAUAUCACGCAGAACUCCGAUUGCGAAGGCAGCAUACCGGCGCCCGACUGACGCUGAGGCACGAAAGCGUGGGUAUCGAACAGGAUUAGAUACCCCAGUA
rnacentral:rRNA from 1 species